rnacentral:rRNA from 1 species
UACAGAGGGGCAAGCGUUGUUCGGAAUUACUGGGCGUAAAGGGCGCGUAGGCGGCCCGCUAAGUCGAACGUGAAAUCCCCGGCUCAACCCGGGAACUGCGUCCGAUACUGGUGGGCUUGAAUCCGGGAGAGGGAUGCGGAAUUCCAGGUGUAGCGGUGAAAUGCGUAGAUAUCUGGAGGAACACCGGUGGCGAAGGCGGCAUCCUGGACCGGUAUUGACGCUGAGGCGCGAAAGCCAGGGGAGCAAAGCG